rnacentral:tmRNA from 1 species
GGGGGUGAUCCGGUUUCGACGGGGUGCGUUGAGGUCAGAUCGCGCGUCGUGGAUUCUCGUUGGCCACGUAAAAAAACGGGAACAAAUUGUAAUUGCGAACAACGAUUACGCUCUCGCCGCCUAAUUAACGGCCGCGAUGUCGACUAGGGGACGCCCGAUAACCUGGAAGGCAUAAUUCAUCGGACCACGCUGCAGGGAGUACCGCCUGCCCGCUGCAGGGUGCCGAACCAGACGGAUGGAAGGGGAUAAGCCCGCCUGUCGGCAUACCUCUUUCGAGAUCAAAGGCCGGCUACACGCGUAGAAGUUUGGCUGAUUCCAUUUCGGACAGGGGUUCGACUCCCCUCACCUCCACCA